rnacentral:rRNA from 1 species
GUGCGUAACAGCUCACUGGUCUAGUGGUUCCGCGCCGACAAUGUAGCGGGGCUCAAGCACACCACCGAAGACGCGGCAGUAGCUUUGCUACUGGGUAGGAGAGCGUCCCAUGCGGGGCGAAGCGGCGGCGCAAGCCCGCCGUGGACUGCAUGGGAGUGAGAAUGCAGACAUGAGUAGCGAAAGACGGGUGAAGAUCCCGUCCGCUGGACGACCAAGGGUUCCAGGGCCACGUUCAUCGUCCCUGGGUGAGUCGGGUCCUAAGGCGAGGCCGACAGGCGUAGUCGAAUGGAUGAACGGGUCGAUAUUCCCGUACCGGCAUGCAACCGACAAAACCGAAUCCGCGAGUACUAACCUCCGGGUCCGGGCUUACGUCUCCUUCGGGAGCCGGAUGCCCUGGCCUGUUGGGACCGUAACGGUAGUAGGUCAGCGCGGGAGUGACGCAGAAGGGUAGCCGGCCGCGGAGGUGGUCUUCCGUGGUCAAGCACGCAGCCCGUCCCACAGGCAAAUCCGUGGGGCGCGUGGGCGAGGUGCGAUGAUGGGCGCCGCAGGGCGCGAUAUCCGGUGAUCCCGGCUGCCGAGAAAAGCUUCGGCGUGAGGCGGCGUGCCGCCCGUACCCCAAACCGACACUGGUGGUCAGGUAGAGAAUACCAAAGCGAUCGAGCGAAUCCUGGUCAAGGAACUCGGCAAAUCACUCCCGUUCCUUCGGUUUAAGGGAGACCCCCGAUGGUGAAGCGGCUUGCCCGUGGAGCUUUUGGGGGUGGCACAGACCAGGGGGUAGCGACUGUUUACCAAAAACACAGGAGCGUGCGAAGGCGCAAGCCGCUGUAUACGCUCUGACGCCUGCCCGGUGCCGGAAGGUUAAGAGGAUCCGUCAGGCUUCGGCCGAAGCGGUGAAUUCAAGCCCCGGUAAACGGCGGUGGUAACUAUAACCAUCCUAAGGUAGCGAAAUUCCUUGUCGGGUAAGUUCCGACCUGCACGAAUGGCGUAACGACUUCCCCACUGUCUCGACCAGGAGCUCGGCGAAAUUGCAGUACGAGUAAAGAUGCUCGUUAAGCGCAGAAGGACGAAAAGACCCCGGGACCUUUACUAUACCUUGGUAUUGGCAUUCGGUGUGGAUUGUGUAGCAUAGGCGGAAGGCUUCGAAGCCACGGCGCCAGCCGCGGUGGAGCCGCAAGGUGAAAUACCGCUCUGUUCGCAUUGGAUGUCUAACCUCGACCAGUCAUCCUGGUCAGGGACAGUGCCUGGCGGGUAGUUUAACUGGGGCGGUUGCCUCCCAAAGAGUAACGGAGGCGCUCAAAGGUUCCCUCAGCCCGGUUGGCAAUCGGGUGGCGAGUGUAAGUGCACAAGGGAGCUUGACUGCGAGACUGACGGGUCGAGCAGGGACGAAAGUCGGAACUAGUGAUCCGGUGCCGGUGUACGGACGCGGCAUCGCUCAACGGAUAAAAGGUACCCCGGGGAUAACAGGCUGAUCAUUCCCAAGAGUCCAUAUCGACGGGAUGGUUUGGCACCUCGAUGUCGGCUCGUCGCAUCCUGGGGCUGGAGCAGGUCCCAAGGGUUCGGCUGUUCGCCGAUUAAAGCGGCACGCGAGCUGGGUUCAGAACGUCGUGAGACAGUUUGGUCUCUAUCCUCUGCGCUCGUCGGAAUGUUGAGGAGGCCUGCCCAUAGUACGAGAGGAC